CCUCCUGCUGCCACCCCUCAAGCUCUUGAAAUACAGGUGCACACUAUUAGGCUUCAUUCCAGGCAGUGCUAAGAAUGCAGGGCUUUGUGUGUGCUAGACAAGCACUGGGUGUAGGGAGAACAUCUGUGUGUUGUAUGGAUGCAUCACCUGUCAAUUAAAAAGCCUCUGGCCUAUGGCUUAGGCAGGAACUAGAAGGCGGGGCAUCAGGAGGAGAAAGAAUUCUGGGAGAGAAGGAAGUGGGGAGAUUCGCCAGGAAGGCGUGACAAGUCCGAUGCCUGGAACCUGAGAAUAGGAGCAUCAGGAAAGAUAGUUAAUUGGGAUCUGAGGACGGGCACUGGCUGCCGGUCUAUCGUGAUGCAUCAGCAAGUCUCCCUGGCUCCCAUUCACCUGCUGAGGAGACAUGGAAGAAAUAUACCAGGGCCCAUGAAAGGGACUCUGCAUGGUGCAUCCAGGGUGGAUGGGGCAACAGCACACAUCGAGAGAACUGUGGAGCUCACCCCUGUCUGGGCCUAAUCGAAGUCUUACCCAGCAUAUUGACUAACGAGACUGUUCAAACUACUAUUUUCUAUUUUUAAGUAGAAAGGCUUGAGCAUCUCCCUCCCAAAUAAAAGCAGACCCAGGCAACUCGGUUCAGCGCUCCCAAUGCCAGAUGACCAACUUGAGAACAGGAAGCAAAGGACCUACUGGACAAUUGACUUCCAGUCAGCCUGCGCCCUGGUUCCUCUGUGUGCCUGGUACAUGUGUCAGAUUGUUUAUUGUCAACAUUGAUGGCAACUUGGCAGGGUUUUCUUAAUUAUCAUUAUUUUUUUAAUGCAAGUA